ACGGCUGACCAGCAAUUUGGAAGAUGUAUAGUUUUAACAGUUGUAUUUUAAAUGCAAUAUCGGUAAUACGAAUAAAGUUCAAGGUAUAUUAUUGAUAAUGACAAUUUUCUAUCUAUAAGUCUUGACCAAAUCACGUGCCAGCAGUCGCGGUAAGACGUGAAAGACUAGUGUUAUUCAUCUUUAAUAGGUUUAAAGGGUACCUAGACGGUAUUUCUAGCCCAUAAUUAUAAAGGGUACGGAUUUACUAGAGUUUUAUAUGAGUAGGUAGUAUUCUGGGUGUAGAGAUGAAAUUCUAUAAUACCUUGAGGACUGGUAAAGGCGAAAGCAACCUACUAUGUGAUAACUGACGUUGAGGGACGAAGGCCUGGGGAGCAAUAAGGAUUCGAUACCCUAGUAGUCCAGGCAGAAAAUUCUGAAUGCCAUAGAAUAAAUAGUAUUUAUUCUAUAAAUGAAAAUGUAAGCAUUCCACCUCAAGAGUAAUGCGGCAACGCAGGAACUGAAAUCAUUAGACCGUAUCUGAAACCAGUAGUGAAGUAUGUUAUUUAAUUCGAUGAUCCGCGAAAAACCUUACCACAACUUGAAUAUUUACAAGCGUUGCACGGCUGUCUUCAGUUAAUGUCGUGAGAUUUUGGUUAGCUCCAUUUAAUUAACGUAAACCCUUGCUUUAUUUAUUAAUUUUUUUAUAAAGUAGCUCAUCAGUACAGAGAAUUUGAUAACAGGGAUUAAGACAAGUCAUCAUGGCCUUAAUGUUGUGGGCUAUAGACGUGCCACAUAUGCCCAUACAAAAGGAUGCAAUAAUGCGAAUUG
rnacentral:rRNA from 1 species